rnacentral:lncRNA from 1 species
CUGAUUUGUAGAUAAUGCCCUGUGCUGUAAAACAGGAUUAUUGCCACUAAUAGAAACCUUUUUGUUAAGAAAUAAAAAAUUCCAGCUGGAGCCACAAAAUAUUUCUCCCAAUUCAUUCUGAUCUACCCAGUACAGCUUAAAUUCCACUGAAACUCUUUCCAAAUAGAUCUUAAAACACACAAAGAAGCUGAAAUUAUCCAUUGCUGAAUGGGGAAAACCCACACUUAACUGAAGUUACAGAAAUAUGUGGACAAAUAGAGCUUUUUAAUCAGCUGCAAAAGGAUCAGGACACAUUAAAUAUUAUGUAAAGUUUGUGCUUUAAUUUCAUUAGAUUACUCAAAUUAGAUAUAAAGCCACUUUUCCCACUUGACUUUCUCCUUACUUUGUGAAAUUAAAUUAUUAAUUAGGCGCCUUCAGGAUUACAGAUUUGAACAAAACUCUUUCACAACAUUCCUUUCAACACCUAAACUGCUUCUAAAGAGAAACAGAUGAGUUUUUAAUGUUUUAAUUACCUGGUUGUGAAGUUACUACACUUCUCAGGGAAAAGAUGACAGCAAGCAUUCCCAAGUUUCCAACACACUUUGAGAAAGACUUUUGAAGUCUCCUGCUGGGAGACUCUGGUGCUCAGCACCACGAGAUACUUGUUUGGAGAAAGAUGGGUUUUGUCAGGCACUUACAUCAAAAGAUCACUUGGAAACACUGAGAAAUCACUGAACACUAUUGGGAAAGUAACUCAGCACCCUUUACUUUAAACUGCAACCUCAGGAAACAUUCCAGUGCAGGAAUCGCUGUCCUGGAAGGUUUUCCAGCUGUUCAAGCCACCAGCAUCCCUCUGGACAUCCCUGAAUUAUAACUGGGGCAGCAUGAGCAUCCUUCUGGGCACCCUGAGCAUGCCUCUGGACAUCUCUGAGUUACCCUUGGGACAGCCUGAGCAUCCCUCUGGACAUCUCUGAGUUAUCCUUGGGACAAGCCUGAGCAUCCCUCUGGACAUCUCUGAGUUAUCCUUGGGACAACCCCGAGUUAUCUCUCCCAACACCCCUGAGUUAUCCUUUAGGCAGCCUGAGCAUCCCUUGGGACACCCCCAAGUUAUCCUUGGGGCAUCCCGAGUUAUUCUUCCAGACACCCCCGAGUUAUCCUUUGGGUAUCCUGAGUUAUCCCUCCCAACACCCCUGAGUUAUCCUCAGGCAUGGGGGAACCAGAGCAUCCCUCUGGACACCUCAAAUUAUCCUUCUGACAGACUGAGCAUCCAUCCGAACACCCCGAAUUAUCCUUGGGACACCCCCCAGUUAUCCCUCCUGCAGGCGCACAACCCUCAUCCCGCAUUCCGACCCGGCUCCCCCAGCCCCACCUGCGCAGGGGGGGGGGGGGGGGGGGGGGGGGGGGGGGGGGGGGGGGGGGGGGGGGGGGGGGGGGGGGG